rnacentral:lncRNA from 1 species
CCCCCCCAGUUUUUUGGGCAGUCGGGCAAUUUCCCAGUUUUUUGGGCAGUCGGGCAAUAUUCGAUCAACAGUCGGGCAAUUUUGGUUUGCAAUUAAAAAAAAUGGGAUAAAUUCUGUCAAUUUUGUCUAAAAUUAAGUAAAUUUUUUGGCAAAUUUUGUGAUUUUUGGAAAAUUUUUGUUAUGUUCCGAAAAAUAUUGGUUGUCCGGAAAAUUUUUUUGACCCCUAAAAUGGUACACUGACCGAAAUUUUUUUGGCGACGGGGGGGGGUCGCCAAAAUAAUUUUUCCGGAAAAAAUUUUUUGGGCAAUGUGGAAUUUUUUGGGCAAAAAAGCUACCGCCCCCCCAGAAUUUAGCGGCCCCGUACGCCUAUGAA